rnacentral:rRNA from 1 species
GGUUUAAUUCGAAGCAACGCGAAGAACCUUACCAAGUCUUGACAUCCUCUUGACCGGUCGGUAAUGUGACCUUUUCUUCGGAACAAGAGUGACAGGUGGUGCAUGGUUGUCGUCAGCUCGUGUCGUGAGAUGUUGGGUUAAGUCCCGCAACGAGCGCAACCCUUAUCCUUAGUAGCCAGCAGUUCGGCUGGGCACUCUAGGGAGACUGCCAGGGAUAACCUGGA